rnacentral:lncRNA from 1 species
CGUAUAUAAUAGAUGGGGGUCUACGGGAAGUCGCGUGGAGAGGACAGGAGCCAAGUCAUCUUGAUGACUCCUCCGACCCAACUUACCGCGAAGAUUUCGCCAAGAGCUCACAGUAAGUGGUUUUUUGAAAACGCAGUCAUAUCACUGACACCCCAAAGUUUUCGGAACUUGAAGGACUACAUAUAAACAAACCCAGGCAAAGACCCAAGGACUUAGGAGGAGGCCAGAGGAAAACUGCGCGAGCAAACCCGAGGGCGACGAGCCCCAACUGCAGAGCCGUGCACCGCCGACCCGGGACCCCGGGGGAACGAGGCGACCGCGAGGCCCGAUCCUCCGAGGCCCCACUCACCAGGAACUGGAGCAUGAUGUCGGUGGGGAGGGCGAGGAGGGUGUGAGAGGUGCUCCAGCUCCAGCUCGGCUCCGGGACUCCUCCCCGGCGCGAGGGCGGAACCCGCUGCCAGGUUCCGGUUUACGCCCCGCCCCGCCCUGCCCCGCCCUCUCCAUUCCCGGAAGCGACUCGCGGAGCCGCAGCGCCCUCUGACGGCCAUCUCGGGAAGCAAGAGGGCGAGGUGCAAACCUAGGCCUCUUUGAACCAAAGCCUCCGGGUGACAAGGACGCUGGCAAUUGUAUUAAUACAGUCAGACGUGGCUGUGUUACCUACUAAACCAGGGUGGGGGUGAGGUAGCGGGUGCCAUGCCAAGUGAACAACUCACUCUCCUGGGAGCCUUUAUGAAGUCCACACUAAUCUCCACCACAGCCGACUCUCAGACGAAAAGGGGGAAAAGGUUCCAUUUCACAAAAGCCCACAAGUGUGCUAUGCAGCCUAGUUAAGGGUAGUCCUCAGCCACGUGAUAGAUGAUGGAGAGAGGUCUGCGGAGUCUGGCACGACUGGAUCCAAGUAGCGAUUGCUGGCAGCCACCAGCAACCUAUCUGAAGUUUACUUCCUCCUCAAGUGGAGCGCGAAUCAUCUACCAUGCAGGAGCCAAAGAUGAAUCCACUCUUGUCCGGUCGCGCUGCUGGUCACCCACAUACACAAGCACAUCGAAACCACCCUUCUCAUGUUGCUCUCAGUCUUUGGAAUUGACCUUUAUCUAGUUAAGGGGUACUCUGGCUUCAAAUAACAGAAAAACAAAUCAGCUGCGCCUAGUGGGGCUGUUAACCCUGGGACAAUGGCAGAGGACUACUUAACAUAUCAAAGUGGACCUGGCCUCCUGGUCCUCGCCAGCAUCCCUCAGUCCCGGCCUGUUACAGGGUGUGGCUGGCACAUGCAGCCCUCUACCCUAAACUCACCAGUUCAGGGGCUGGGCUGCUUUUCCCGAUGAGGCUUUUCCCUAUAUAAUCCAGCCAUUUUGGUUACCUGAACUGUGAUGGUUUACAUAUGCUCGUCCCAGGGAGUGGCACUAUUAGAAGGUGUGGCCUUGUUGGAGGAAAUGUGUCACUGUGGGGAUGGACUUGGAAAUCUUCCUCCUAGCAGCUUGAGGAUGCUCUCUGGCUUCCUUCAGAUGAAGAUGUAGAACUCUCAGCUCUGCCAGCACCAUGCCUGCCUGGAUACUGCCAUGCUUCCACUUUGGUGACAAUGGACUGAAACUCUGAACCUGUAAGCCAGCCCCAAUUAAAUGUUGUCAUUUCUAAGA